AUUUGUCUGGUUAAUUCCGAUAACGAACGAGACCUUAACCUGCUAACUAGAUUCUUCUAUACUAUAGUUGAUAUCUUCUUAGAGGGACUAUGUAAUACAAAUACAUGGAAGUUUGAGGCAAUAACAGGUCAGUGAUGCCCUUAUAUGUCCUGGGCUGCACGCGUGCUACACUGAUGCAUACAACAAGUGCCUAACCAGACAUGGUAUGGCAAUCUCGAAUAUGCAUCGUGAUGGGGAUAGAUCUUUGCAAUUAUAGAUCUUGAACGAGGAAUUCCUAGUAAGUGCAAGUCAUCAUCUUGCAUUGAUUAUGUCCCUGCCCUUUGUACACACCGCCCGUCGCUCCUACCGAUACCGGGUGAUCCGGUGAACCUUUUGGACUCAUCUGGGAAAGAUAAGUAAACCAUAUCACCUAGAGGAAGGAGAAAUCGUAACAAGGUUUCCGUAGGUGAACCUGCRGAAGGAUCA
rnacentral:rRNA from 1 species